rnacentral:rRNA from 1 species
AACGAACGCUGGCGGCAUGCCUAACACAUGCAAGUCGAACGAGAUCUUCGGGUCUAGUGGCGCACGGGUGCGUAACGCGUGGGAAUCUGCCCUUUGGUUCGGAAUAACAGUUGGAAACGACUGCUAAUACCGGAUCAUGACGAAAGUCCAAAGAUUUAUCGCCAGAGGAUGAGCCCGCGUAGGAUUAGCUAGUUGGUGUGGUAAAGGCGCACCAAGGCGACGAUCCUUAGCUGGUCUGAGAGGAUGAUCAGCCACACUGGGACUGAGACACGGCCCAGACUCCUACGGGAGGCAGCAGUGGGGAAUAUUGGACAAUGGGCGAAAGCUUGAUCCAGCAAUGCCGCGUGAGUGAUGAAGGCCUUAGGGUUGUAAAGCUCUUUUACCCGGGAUGGUAAUGACAGUACCGGGAGAAUAAGCUCCGGCUAACUCCGUGCCAGCAGCCGCAGUAA